UAGGGAAUAUUGCAAAAUGGGCGAAAGCCCGAUGCAGCAACGCCGCGUGGGCGAUGAAGGCCUUCGGGUCGUAAAGCCCUUUUUGAGGGGAUGAGGAAGGACAGUACCCUCAGAAUAAGCCUCGGCUAACUACGUGCCAGCAGCCGCGGUAAAACGUAGGAGGCGAGCGUUAUCCGGAUUUACUGGGCGUAAAGCGCGUGCGGGCGGAUUAGAGAGUUGGAUGUGAAAGCUCCCGGCUUAACUGGGAGAGGUCGUUCAAUACUUCCAGUCUUGAGUGCAGUAGAGGGAAGUGGAAUUCCGGGUGUAGUGGUGAAAUGCGUAGAUAUCCGGAGGAACACCAGUGGCGAAAGCGGCUUCCUGGACUGUAACUGACGCUCAGACGCGAAAGCUAGGGUAGCAAACG
rnacentral:rRNA from 1 species